rnacentral:rRNA from 1 species
GUGACAUACCUACAACUGUUGCUUCGGCGGGUAGGCCGUCCCCUGAAAAGGACGCCUCCCGGCCCGGACCGGACCCCCCGCGGGACCGGACCCGGCGCCCGCCGGAGGAUAACCAAACUCUAUUGUAACGACGUUUCUUCUGAGUGGCAUAAGCAAAAUAAUCAAAACUUUUAACAACGGAUCUCUUGGUUCUGGCAUCGAUGAAGAACGCAGCGAAAUGCGAUAAGUAAUGUGAAUUGCAGAAUUCAGUGAAUCAUCGAAUCUUUGAACGCACAUUGCGCCCGCCAGCAUUCUGGCGGGCAUGCCUGUUCGAGCGUCAUUUCAACCCUCAAGCUCUGCUUGGUGUUGGGGCUCUACGGUCGACGUAGGCCCUCAAAGGUAGUGGCGGACCCUCCCGGAGCCUCCUUUGCGUAGUAACAUUUCGUCUCGCACUGGGAUCCGGAGGGACUCUUGCCGUAAAACCCCCCAAUUUUCCAAAGGUUGACCUCGGAUCAGGUAGGAAUACCCGCUGAACUUAAGCAUAUCAAUA